AUUGAACGCUGGCGGUAGGCCUAACACAUGCAAGUCGAGCGAGCGGCGGACGGGUGAGUAAUGUAUGGGGACUGCCCGAUAGAGGGGGAUAACUACUGGAAACGGUGGAUAAUACCGCAUACUCUAGGAUAACCCAUAUGGGAUUAGGUAGUAGGUGGGGUAAAGGCUCACCUAGGCGACGAUCUCUAGCGGGUCUGAGAGGAUGAACAGCACCACUGGGACUGAGACACGGCCCAGACUCCUACGGAGGCAGCAGUGGGGAAUAUUGCACAAUGGGCGCAAUCCUGCUGCAGCCAUGCCGCGUGUAUGAAGAAGGCCUUGGGGUUGUAAAGUACUUUCAGCGGGGAGGCGUUACCCGCAGAAGAAGCACCGGCUAACUCCGUGCCAGCAGCCGCGGUAAUUC
rnacentral:rRNA from 1 species